AGAGCCUGGCAUGGCAGCGACCUUCAGCAGAUGGAGGUGCUGUUGGCAUCACCCCUUUGCGUGCAAGUGACCGGCAGGCUUCUGUCUUCCUCUGUAAAUGAGGAGGCUGCAGGGAGCAGAGUCCAGGCUCUGCCUGGACGCACAGCCCUGGUCGCCCUUCCCUCUUGAGCUCCCCCAGGGCUUGGAGGGGUGCUGAGGGGUAGCAGGAUGGUGGCAGAGCGCAGCCUUUCCCCACAGACCAGCCUUCUGGCCAACUGCCAGGCGCCGCGCCGGCCCUGGCUGGCCUCACACAUGAGCACCGUCUUCCUCACGCUGCUCUGCUUCCCCGCCUUCCUGGGCGCCGCUGUCUUCCUCUGCUACGCCGUCUGGCAGGUGAAGCCCUCGAGCACCUGCGGCCCCUUCCGGACCCUGGACACCAUGUACGAGGCCGGCAGGGUGUGGGUGCGCCACCUGGAGGCGGCAGGCCCCAGGGUCUCCUGGCUGCCCUGGGUGCACCGGUACCUGGGGGAAAACACCUUCUUUGUCUUCCUGGUGUCAGCCCUGCUGCUGGCCGUGAUCUACCUCAACAUCCAGGUGGUGC
rnacentral:sRNA from 1 species